AACGAACGCUGGCGGCAUGCCUAACACAUGCAAGUCGAACGAGACCUUCGGGUCUAGUGGCGCACGGGUGCGUAACGCGUGGGAAUCUGCCCUUGGGUUCGGAAUAACAGUUAGAAAUGACUGCUAAUACCGGAUAAUGUCUUCGGACCAAAGAUUUAUCGCCCAGGGAUGAGCCCGCGUAGGAUUAGCUAGUUGGUGAGGUAAAGGCUCACCAAGGCGACGAUCCUUAGCUGGUCUGAGAGGAUGAUCAGCCACACUGGGACUGAGACACGGCCCAGACUCCUACGGGAGGCAGCAGUGGGAAUAUUGGACAAUGGCGAAAGCCUGAUCCAGCAAUGCCGCGUGAGUGAUGAAGGCCUUAGGGUUGUAAAGCUCUUUUACCCGGGAUGAUAAUGACAGUACCGGGAGAAUAAGCCCCGGCUAACUCCGUGCCAGCAGCCGCGGU
rnacentral:rRNA from 1 species